AGGGUUUGAUUAUGGCUCAGGAUGAACGCUAGCUACAGGCUUAACACAUGCAAGUCGAGGGGCAGCAUGACCUAGCAAUAGGUUGAUGGCGACCGGCGCACGGGUGAGUAACACGUAUCCAACCUGCCGAUUAUUCCGGGAUAGCCUUUCGAAAGAAAGAUUAAUACUGGAUAGCAUAACGAGAAGGCAUCUUCUUGUUAUUAAAGAAUUUCGAUAAUCGAUGGGGAUGCGUUCCAUUAGUUUGUUGGCGGGGUAACGGCCCACCAAGACAUCGAUGGAUAGGGGUUCUGAGAGGAAGGUCCCCCACAUUGGAACUGAGACACGGUCCAA
rnacentral:rRNA from 1 species